GCCUGGGUGGCUCAGUCUGUUAAGCAUCUGACUUCAGCUCGGGUCAUGAUCUCAUAGUUCGUGGGUUCGAGCCCCAUGUCAGGCU
rnacentral:tRNA from 1 species